GGCGGCAUGCUGCAGGCUGCAUGAUGCAUGGUACAACCUCGAGGGUAGGGUGCUAACCAGAAAACGAUAAGAACGAAAAGGUACUGGGUACUGGCCUGCUGGAUGCUACAUGGCCUAGCGUCAAGGUGCUAACCAGACAACACACUGGUACGCUGCGAUCUGGGCUGACAGAGUACUGGUGUACUAGUGAACCUCUUCACUGGUCUGUGUGUGUGUGACAGAUACUAGUGAACUACAUCACUGGUCUGUUUGUGUGUGCGGUGAACUGGUUUGUUUGUGUGGCAGUGUACUGGUGUACUAGUGAACUGGUUUGUUUGUG